CCAUAGCUCAGUUGGUUAGAGCAUCUGACUCAUAAUCAGAGGGUCCUAGGUUCGAGCCCUAGUGG
rnacentral:tRNA from 1 species